rnacentral:rRNA from 1 species
AGUGAACGCUGGCGGUAGGCCUAACACAUGCAAGUCGAACGGCAGCACAGUAAGAGCUUGCUCUUACGGGUGGCGAGUGGCGGACGGGUGAGGAAUACAUCGGAAUCUACUUUUUCGUGGGGGAUAACGUAGGGAAACUUACGCUAAUACCGCAUACGACCUACGGGUGAAAGCAGGGGAUCUUCGCACCUUUCGCGAUUGUAUGAGCCGAUGUCGGAUUAGCUAGUUGGCGGGGUAAAGGCCCACCAAGGCGACGAUACGUAGCUGAUCUGAGAGGAUGAUCAGCCACACUGGAACUGAGACACGGUCCAGACUCCUACGGGAGGCAGCAGUGGGGAAUAUUGGACAAUGGGCGCAAGCCUGAUCCAGCCAUACCGCGUGAGUGAAGAAGGCCUUCGGGUUGUAAAGCCCUUUUGUUGGGAAAGAAAAGCAGCAGGUUAAUACCCCGCUGUUCUGACGGUACCCAAAGAAUAAGCACCGGCUAACUUCGUG